rnacentral:rRNA from 1 species
GUUGUCCGGAAUCAUUGGGCGUAAAGCGCGCGUAGGUGGCCUAAUAAGUCCGCUGUGAAAGUCAAAGGCUCAACCUUUGAAAGCCGGUGGAUACUGUGAGGCUAGAGUACGGAAGAGGCGAGUGGAAUUCCUGGUGUAGCGGUGGAAUGCGCAGAUAUCAGGAGGAACACCAAUAGCGAAGGCAGCUCGCUGGGACGUUACUGACACUGAGGCGCGAAAGCGUGGGGAGCGAACAGGAUUAGAUACCCUGGUAGUCCACGCCGUAAACGAUGGGUACUAGGUGUGGGAGGUGUCGACUCCUCCCGUGCCGUCGCUAACGCACUAAGUACCCCGCCUGGGGAGUACGGCCGCAAGGCUAAAACUCAGAGGAAUUGACGGGGGCCCGCAACAAGCAGCGGAGCAUGUGGUUUA